rnacentral:rRNA from 1 species
CCAAUAGCGUAUAUUAAAGUUGUUGCAGUUAAAAAGCUCGUAGUUGAACUUCGGGGUCUACCCAUUGGUCAGGCUUAAUUGUCUGUACUGGUGAGAUGGAUCUCUACCUUCUGAGGAACUUUCAUGCCAUUUAUUUGGUGUGGUUGGAAAUCAUGACUGUUACUUUGAAAAAAUUAGAGUGUUUAAAGCAGACUAUCGUCUGAAUACAUUAGCAUGGAAUAAUGAAAUAGGACGGACUGAUUCUAUUUCGUUGGUUUCUAGGAUCACCGUAAUGAUUAAUAGGGAUAGUUGGGGGCAUUAGUAUUCAAUUGUCAGAGGUGAAAUUCUUGGAUUUAUUGAAGACUAACUACUGCGAAAGCAUUUGCCAAGGAUGUUUUCAUUAAUCAAGAACGAAAGUUAGGGGAUCGAAGACGAUCAGAUACCGUCGUAGUCUUAACCAUAAACUAUGCCGACUAGGGAUCGGUGGGAGUUAGUUUUAUGACUCCAUCGGCACCUCAUG